rnacentral:tRNA from 1 species
GGAAUGUAGCUCAGUUGGUAGAGUGCUUGCCUUGCAUAACAAGAUCCUGGGUUCAAUUUUCAACACCA